GCCCCGCCCCUGACCGAUCAGACUGGCCCCCAGCGGGGCCCCUUCCCGCCCCUAACCACGUCUCAUUGGAGGCCGCAGAAGUGGCGGUUCACCGGGCCCCCUGAAGGCGGGGCUCCCAGAGUGAAGGCGCGGGGGGCGGAGCCAGCACCCGGCGGGAUUCCCCUGGAGCUACCCGGGGCGGGACCAGCCCAGGAGCCAGGUGAGCCCUCCGGCAGUCGCGCGUCCUAGACCUUCCUGGCCGUCACCUGAAACAGCCUGGCUCCUUCCUCUACUAGACCGAGCGAAUGCCCCUCACGGAGUUGUUUUGAGAGAAUGAUGAAAGGAGAAAAUGGAUGCUGGCUUUAAGCCACACAAAAGCUAGUUACCAUGGACAGCGCGGGACUCACGUCUAACAAUCCGGCUACCGAAAAUUAUUUGCCUGGAUCCAGUUCUGAUUCAAGGCCCCUGGCUACUCAACCGCCAAGGACAGUGGCCCCACUCCCUCCCUCUAUUCCUGGCCUCUUUAGUCUAAGUACUCAAGGAUGUACGUGCUCAGCUCCUCACAUCCCAGUUCAGAACACCCUAUUUACUGUAACAGAACAGUCCAGAGUUCAGUCUUCCAAAAGGCGACUUUCAGGAUGACCCAGAAGCAAAACCAAACCAAAGAAGACUUCAGAGGACCUAUAAAUAAAUGAAUCUUUCUCUAAAGUA